CAAUAGCGUAUAUUAAAGUUGUUGCGGUUAAAAAGCUCGUAGUUGGAUCUCGGCAGGCAGGGGGUGGUUCGCUCUUAGCGCUACUGCCCCAUUUGCCUGUGUGAUUGGCGGAGGUUUCGGGGUGCUCUUCGUUGAGUGACCCGGGGCGCCGUCAGGUUUACUUUGAAAAAAUUAGAGUGCUCAAAGCAGGCUUUUCACGCUUGAAUAUUCGUGCAUGGAAUAAUGGAAUAGGAACUCGUUUCUAUUUUGUUGGUUUUCGGAAAUCGAGUUAAUGAUUAAUAGGGACAAUUGGGGGCAUUAGUAUUCAGACGACAGAGGUGAAAUUCUUGGACCGUCUGAAGACUAACUACUGCGAAAGCAUUUGCCAAGAAUGUUUUCAUUAA
rnacentral:rRNA from 1 species